AGCUCCAAUAGCGUAUAUUUAAGUUGUUGCAGUUAAAAAGCUCGUAGUUGGAUUUUGGGCGUGGCAGGCAGGUCCUCGCUUUGCGUAGGUACUAGCAGGCGGCGUCUUUCUGCCGAGGACGCGCUCCGGUCGUUAAUCCUUCUGGACGCGGAGUCGGCGCAGUUACUUUGAAAAAAUUAGAGUGUUCAAAGCGGGCCUUACGCUUGAAUAUAUUAGCAUGGAAUAACACUAUAGGACUCCUGUCCUAUUCUGUUGGUCUUCGGGAUGGGAGUAAUGAUUAAGAGGAACAGUUGGGGGCAUUCGUAUUUCAUUGUCAGAGGUGAAAUUCUUGGAUUUAUGAAAGACGAACUUCUGCGAAAGCAUUUGCCAAGGAUGUUUUCA
rnacentral:rRNA from 1 species